GCCGAGCAAAAUGCCCGCUGGUCAAUCAUUUGCCAGAACAAAUUACAGACCCUUGAGCAAAGCUCUCACCAGGUCCACGUACCUGGUGAAGGACACAUCAGUACCUCCACACACACGAUCGAAAGCGGGUAUAAAAGCAUAACGAGACCGGAACAAAGAAAAGUAGAGUACUGCGCUGCACGAGGACACAACGCGAUGCCGACUUAGUGACAUCGAACAGAGACAGGUGGCAGCGGUCAGGACAAACUAUGUUUGUUGACUUCCCCCAUAUUGAAAAUUACACUUUUCAGGGACUCUGCCUCCUUGACCUCCUCUGCAACAUCCACAUCUUCCUCACCGGACGGCUGCACUCCCAAAGCAGCAGGUGGCGCCACUUCGACGGCUAUUGAUGGAGCAGAGUGGCAAGAGUGGCAGCGCUUGGACUCUUGCCCUGGAGCUUCUGACGUAGCUCCUGGUCCAGCAGCUGAGAGCACCUCCAGGUCUGACCCGGAGGAGGCUGCUGCCAGCUGACUCGCAUCUACGACUGCUGCAGCUUCACUAUGCGUUGCUGCCAAAGCUUCGGCUGCUACGUCAUCCACCCAUGUCUCCGCAUCGGGCGGCGUGUCAUCCAGAGGAGCAGCUUCAGCAGCAGUGGUGGCCUCCUCAGCAGGAGCAGCAUCUUCAGGUGGGGUAUCAGAAGAGGCGGCGGCUUCCUCCCGGACAGCUGCAGAGUCUGCAGUCUGGUCUUCAGACUGGACCUCCUCCUCCUUCUCCCCCUCCUCCUCCUCCACAGCCAGGACUGAAGUUGUAGCUUCCUCAGACAGAGACGCAGCCACCUCCUCCUCCAGCGCUGCCUCUACACUGGCAGCUGUCCCUUCUUCAACCAGCUGUUCAGCAUCUGCAGGCUUCGACUCCUCCUCGUUCACCAUGGUCACCUCUUGAGCUUCUUUGGCUACCUCCUCUGUGGUCGCUUCCACAGCUUCUGGUUCGACCACCUUCAGUGGAAAGUCCAAACCUUCCACCAGACUGUUCUCAACAGAAGCUGCCGCUAUCUCAAUCGGAGGGCCAGCCAAGACUUUCACUGCUGUGAGCAGAUCAGGCAAGGACUCUGAAUGAGAGGAGGACAGGAAGUAGUGG
ensembl:lncRNA